rnacentral:rRNA from 1 species
GUGCCAGCAGCCGCGGUAAUACGUAGGUGGCGAGCGUUGUCCGGAUUUAUUGGGUUUAAAGGGUGCGUAGGCGGCCCUAUAAGUCAGUGGUGAAAUAUCGCAGCUUAACUGUGAGGGUGCCAUUGAUACUGUAGGGCUUGAGUGAAUUUGAGGUAGGCGGAAUUGACGGUGUAGCGGUGAAAUGCUUAGAUAUCGUCAAGAACACCGAUAGUGAAGACAGCUUACCAAGCUUCAACUGACGCUGAGGCACGAAAGUGUGGGGAUCAAACAGGAUUAGAUACCCUGGUAGUCC